rnacentral:rRNA from 2 species
CUUGGUCAUUUAGAGGAAGUAAAAGUCGUAACAAGGUCUCCGUAGGUGAACCUGCGGAGGGAUCAAUAUCGAACCUGGCCCCCUGGCCACGUCUACCUUGCAAACCCGUGGAAGCGAACCGUGCUUCGGCGCCUCGGCGUCGAGUUUAUGCUGCAGUUGGUAGUUUGCGUCUGAAUCAAACCGAAGAACAUAAAACUUUCAACAGAGGAUCUCUUGGCUCUUGUAUCGAUGAAGAACGCAGCAAAGCGCGAAAUGUAGUGAACAUAGCAGCACAAUUGUGAAUCAUCGAAUCUUUGAACGCACAUUGCGCCUCCGGUAGCUCGGAGGCAUGCCUGUCUGAGCGUCAUUACAACCCUCAAGCCUGGCUUAUUGUUGGACUUUACUGCUGAAAUAUGUGGCAGGUCCGAAAAACAAUGACGGUGUCGUGUUUGACCCUAAAUGCAACGAGCUUUUUUAUAAGCACGCAUUGAAGUGGUUAACCGGCCUGGUUUUAACCAUCAUUUUCUAAGGUUGACCUCGGAUCAGGUAGGAAUACCCGCUGAACUUAAGCAUAUCAAUAAGCGGAGGA